rnacentral:rRNA from 1 species
GUGAGUAGUUCAGAGUUUGAUCCUGGCUCAGGAUGAACGCUGGCGGCGUGCUUAACACAUGCAAGUCGAACGAAGCACUUUAUUACGAUUUCUUCGGAAUGACGAUUUAGUGACUGAGUGGCGGACGGGUGAGUAACGCGUGGGUAACCUGCCUCAUGCAGGGGGAUAACAGUUAGAAAUGACUGCUAAUACCGCAUAAGCGCACAGUACCGCAUGGUACAGUGUGAAAAGAUUUAUCAGCAUGAGAUGGACCCGCGUCUGAUUAGCUAGUUGGUGAGGUAACGGCUCACCAAGGCGACGAUCAGUAGCCGACUUGAGAGAGUGAUCGGCCACAUUGGGACUGAGACACGGCCCAA